rnacentral:rRNA from 1 species
CCUACGGGAGGCAGCAGUGAGGAAUCUUGGUCAAUGGACGCAAGUCUGAACCAGCCAUGCCGCGUGCAGGAAGACGGCUCUAUGAGUUGUAAACUGCUUUUGUACGAGGGUAAACGCAGAUACGCGUAUCUGUCUGAUAGUAUCGUACGAAUAUAGAUAGGCUAACUCCGUGCCAGCAGCCGCGGUAAUACGGAGGAUUCAAGCGUUAUCCGGAUUUAUUGGGUUUAAAGGGUGCGUAGGCGGUCCGAUAAGUUAGAUGUGAAAGCCCGAGGCUCAACUUCGGAAUUGCCUCUGAUACUGUUCGGCUAGAGAGUAGUAGCGGUAGGCGGAAGGUAUGGUGUAGCGGUGAAAUGCUUAGAGAUCAGACAGAACACCGAUUGCGAAGGCAGCUUACCAAGCUACUUCUGACGUUGAGGCACGAAAGCGUGGGGAGCAAACAGGAUUAGAUACCCGGGUAGUC